UACGGGGGGGGGCAAGCGUUGUUCAGAAUUACUGGGCGUAAAGGGCGCGUAGGCGGUUCGAUAAGUCAGCUGUGAAAUCCCCAGGCUUAACCUGGGAACUGCAUCCGAUACUGGAUGGCUUGAAUCCGGGAGAGGGAUGCAGAAUUCCAGGUGUAGCGGUGAAAUGCGUAGAUAUCUGGAGGAAUACCGGUGGCGAAGGCGGCAUCCUGGACCGGCAUUGACGCUGAUGAGCGAAAGCUAGGGGAGCAAACGGG
rnacentral:rRNA from 1 species